GCCCUUUCUCCUCUCCGCGUCGGUGGCCAUCUGCCGCUACCGCCGCCGCUCCAGCAAUGUCGAGGCCGACGCGUCAAACCCUGGCCCCGGCGUCCGCCACCUCACUCCGCCGCUUCCCUGGAAACUCGCAGCAUCGUCCCCCGCACGCCUCGGCGCCGUUCCGGAAAGCCGCGGCGGCGCUCCUCCUCGUCGCGGCCGUGGCGCUGCCCUGCGCCGUGCUGUACCGAGCCGUCGUGUUGAAUUCUCCCCCGCCGGUGCAGGUUGGGUGGGGUUUCCGGCCCUGGCAGGAGCAGGGCACGCUGCGUGCUCCGGUUAUGGUCCCCGAGGAGGACGGCGACCUCGACGCCGUUGCCGCAGGCGAUAUGGAAAGAGAAUAUCCCAAACUUGAGCAAGUUCUACAAGAGGCUUCUAUGGACAACAAGACCAUUAUAUUAACAACACUGAAUGCUGCAUGGGCUUCUCCAGGCUCAGUUAUAGAUCUUUUCAUUGAUAGUUUCCGUCGUGGUAUUAGAACAAAUUCACUACUCAAACACCUUGUGAUAAUAGCAUUCGAUCGGACAGCAUAUAGACGAUGUACUGAGAUCCAUCCCUACUGUUUUGCCCUUGUAACUGAUGAUGUGGACUUUUCUCAAGAGAAGAGGUUUCUGACUGCUGGAUAUCUGGAGUUGAUGUGGAAAAGGCUGGAUUUCUUGCGCCUAGUUCUUGAAAAAGGUUACAGCUUCAUUUUCUCGGAUGCAGACGUUAUGUGGUUCCGCAAUCCAUUUCCAUAUCUUUAUCCAGAUGGAGAUUUUCAGAGUGCGUGUGAUCAUUAUGUAGGCAAUGCAACUGACUUGAGAAACAUAGCUAACGGAGGAUUCAACUAUGUGAAAUCCAACAAUCAAAGCAUAGAGUUCUACAAGUUUUGGCAUUCUUCCCGACUAAGAUAUCCUGGUUAUCAUGAUCAGGAUGUGUUUAAUUUUAUAAAGCAUGAUCCUUACGUUACGGAAAUUGGAUUAACAAUUAAGUUUUUAAGUACGACAUACUUCGGUGGUAUUUGUGAGCCAAGCAGAAAUUUAAACAAGGUUUGCACUAUGCAUGCAAACUGCUGCAUUGGAUUGCAGAGCAAACUUCAUGAUUUAAGAAUCCUAAUGGAAGAUUGGAGGGAUUAUAUGUCUAUGCCACCAGGCUUAAAAAUAUUAGGGGCACUUUCAUGGAGGGUGCCACAAAAUUGCAGUCUUUCAUUAUAAGACCAGUGAAACAUGUCACUGUGAUAUUACCAUUACCAAACAUGCAACUUCCAAGAAAUCAUUGUUGUAAACUGGAAACAGAAAAUUACUUGAAAGGUUAGACACUGCCACUGGACUGCUGGAUAUGAAACUCACAUUCAGUUUAUGGUCUUUCAGGAAAAACUGGUUCAUGACAAAGUCUGACUUUUCUAAAGACCUGUCAUGACUGGAUUAUAUCUUAAUGACACUGUCAAUUUGAUGCCUUCAGUACUGUUUCAUCUGAACUUUGGAAAAUUAACCAAUGUGAAGGUACGGAUGUUCAUUUUCUCCUUUUCUGUAUGUAGUUUUCAUCUCCUUAUUUGGGUUCUAGGAUGUUGGUUGAUCUGGAAAAGUGGAGCUGCAGCCAUAUGUGUGAAUUUUCUUAUUUAUUUAUUUUUUAUAUAAAAACUGUAAAGAAAAUCCAUACAGUAUGAAUAGGAACCCAAAUCCAUGUCCAUGAGGAGUUGAACUCAGGUGCUGUGUACAUCCACUCUCCCAACCAAGUGAACUAACCAGUUAGGCUCAGUUGCUGAAUUUCAUCCACUGGUAGAAGUUUCAUCUGCGUGAUCAGCACUGCAUGUAUGUCAAUACGCUGGUUAAUCCCAACUGCUGGUGAUUUCGAGAAGCCCAGUGCGUAGUCUUCCGUCCUAUGUUCAACCAUCCAACUUUUUCUCCUCAUUAGAACUUCUAUAUAGCGUACCAAUAUCUUUGUAUAUGAACUGUUGGAUCUUUCCAAUGAAAUGGUUCAGGUUAAAUAGAUACGUUCUAUAUACGAGCCAUUGGAUGUCGGAGUCCGAUGGCUGACAUUUCAGGGAUUUGCAGUCAAUCACCCUGUCGGGCCUUGGCCCACUCCUGUCAAUAUAUUUUGCAGUUGAAUAUUUUUUCAACGACAUUUUUACGGAGCCUGGGGAGAACAGAAAGUAUUCUGGUGUCUAGAGAAGGCAUGCGGACACUGUAAUUCCAUGGAUGCUUCACUUUCUCUCUACAGAUGACCCUUUUUCCAAUGUUUAAAUCUCCUUUUAUUCUGUGUGCAUUCCCUUCACUGUCAUGUCUGUUCUACACUGCAUCUCUCUUUUCUCCCUACAUGUAGCAUGCAAUAUUACAUUAAUUAUAUAGAUUAUUCCACCAUUUGGUCUGGUUGCAUGCAAAACCUUCUUUGACAUUUUUUUAUACGAUUAGAGUAUUUUUCUCUCAUUCGGGCAUUGCCACAUCGUGUAGGCUUGCUGAACUUUAUCUCUGCAGUAGAAAAGUAGGUGCAGAAAAGGUGAGCACUUUUUAACAAACAACAUAGGAUGUUUUUAAAUUGUUUCUAUGUUAGCCAAGAGAUGGUUUUGUAAUAUGUCGAGUAUACCAUAAAUAGGCUAAACACAAAAAUACAUUAUGUUGUCACCUUCUUAAGGAAACGGUAUUGUCGUUGCGAAACACAGCUGAGAUAGUUGGGAUUACAUUUGUUUUUCCAAUAUUUAUAAUUUAUGUCUAUUUAUAUUAUUGCCUAUAACGUUGUACAGAAAUAUAUACUCCCUCCGAUCCAUAAUAAGUGUCUCAGAUUUUGUACUAACUUAGUACAAAGUUGCACUAAGUCUGGGACACUUAUUAUGGAUCAGAGGGAGUACUUAAAUAAAUUAUAGUCUCACAAUUUUGUUUUAAAAGAACAGUUGAUAUGAAGGUAAAUAAGAUAAUCCCUACUGUCGUGCUCUGUUUAGCAUGCUUCAAAGCUAAUUGUUGUUAUGUAGAUUCCACAUCCCUGUGUACUACUACAUAUUGAUAGUCUGAAAAGCAGUGUGAUGCACAGAUACUGUAUUUGUCCUGAUGUCCAAGAAUAAACUUCAUUUUUUAUGAGAUAGCAAAUCUUAAGUUGUUGUAAGUUGUAACAGAUUCAAGGUUGCAGCUGCUGUCAAUACAGGAAUAUUCCAAUUUUAAGCUUGACAGCAACAGCACAAAGGAAAAGAAGAGGUGAGGUUACCACUUACCAGCGUAUCAUCCACAGCUACUCAGCCAGGCCGGCAACUCUCACCGUAACCAGCCGUGUCAGGGACUGUAGGAAAUGCUAUGAUAUGGGGUCAUUGACCUCAGAAAAUAGGUAACGAAAUCACGAAUUAGAACAGAAUGCUUAUUUCUUAAGUGUUUUUGCCAGGCUAAUUCUUAAACCCGAUCUCAGUGAAGACCUCCGAGACAAACUUGAAAUGCAUUCCAGAGGAGAUUGGAAUGCCCUGCCAAUUGGAGAAGAUAUUGUUGAUGACAUUGUAAGAUUAAAGGCAUCGAACUUAAAUGUACAAUGUACAAGUAAGAAAGUAAAUUAAUGUUUUAAAUACCAAGCAUGGAUUUAUUUGUUGUAUAUAUAUGAGUGUGUAACAUUUGAAUAAAUCUUUCUGUGCAUUUUUA